GCGGUGACGGGCGGAAGUGGCGGAGUGAAGGAAGAGGAGCACGUGGCGCUGGUCUGUCUUCAACCAUGUGGGGCUGCCCAUUUUGUGUGCUGGUUUCUCGGGGGGGGGGGGGUGGGAAACUGCCUAGCGAGGUGGGAGACAAGGAUCCAGCACUCUGCAGACUUACCUGGCAGUAAGCCCCCUAGAUCACAGCGCUGUAAAGAUGUGUUGGUGGAGAAGUGGGUGCUUUAGGAAUUGGGCUUCAUCUAUGCAUGACUAUUAACUGGGUUCAGUGGGGUUUACUUCCCGGAAAGUACGCGCGUGCUUGCAAGCAUCUAGGUGAAGCAGAGAUUUGGAGAGGCUGGAGGGGGAUUAGGGACCCGCUGGGUUGAGGGACGCGUGUGCGUUCCUCAUCCUCGGUUGGAGAGUCAAAACCGAAAGACAUUAGGUCAAGCCUGGAGACAGGCAAUCAGUAUUUAUUCUGUAGCUAUCUGCUGCAUGGUUCUAGUAUGGUUCUAGCACACAGUGUUCCGGACUGAAGAGGCUGAUCUAGGGUAGUUGGCCAGGGGCAGGAAUAAACGGGGGUGGGGGGGCAUGUGUAGUAGAUACCAUGCCUAAGCCUGGGAUCAGAAGGAAUUGUAUUGUAUCCUAGGCAAAGCAUUCAGGCACGUUUUUCUUCCAGAAGUGCGACAAAAUUAUGCCUUCUCCACAAUGGGUGAUCCUUUCUUUGAAAGGAAGCAGCUUUGGGGGAAGACCAUGUGGUAGACCAUGUGCUUUGCAUGUAAAAAGUUCCAGGUUUGAUGCCAAGCGCUUCCAGGUAGGGCUGGAGAAAUCCCCUGUUUGAAAUACUGCCAGUCAGCAUAGAUGGUACUGAGUUAGAUAUGUAGACCAUGAUCUGACUUUUCAUAAGACUGCUUCCUUUAUUCCAACAUGUUGGGGAAAUAUUGUGUAUUUAAGGCUGUGUACACGCCAUACAUUUAAAGCACAUCCCCCCCUCCCCAAAGAGUCAUUGGAAUGGUAGUUUGUUAAGGGUGCUGGGAAUUGUAGUGCAGUGAGGGGUAAACUAUAGUUCCUGGGAGCCUUUGGGGGUGGUGGGUGGUGAAUAUGCAGCUUAGGCAAUGUGAAUUUAUUUGGAGAUUGUAUUAACAUAUAGGAUUUGGGAAUUCAGUUUCAAUCUCCUUUUUCCUCUUUGAGUCAUUAGAUGGAAUAUGGAGUUCUGGGCACCUUUAAUUUGAUCUGUGCUGAAAAUAUUCCAAAGCCAUCAGCUCAUCGGAAAUAUCUAGGGUGAAUGUAUUCUGUGUGCUGCUGCUGCUAAAGAAUGCUGGGUAGAAAACAAGCAGAAUCCGCCUGCUGGAAAUUCUACACAGUUUAGCUGACCACACUGUGAAAUCUAUUUGUCAAGGCAAACAUUUCGCUUUGCUAACAGAUGGUGUUCCUUUUCUCCCUCCUCCCAGCAAGUAAAAUAAUACCACUUCAGAAUUGUUUUAAAUGUUUCAACAAGUUUCAUUUUCAGUCUUCUUUUAAUUGCAACUCUUCUCUCGGCACCUGAAGCUUGCAAAAUUGAGAUGGUUACUGUUCACUUUUAAAAAUGAAUCUGAAGUUGCUUCCCUGCCCUUCCCCCCCUCCCCCAUCCACAUGGGGAAGGCAAAGAAGUUGUUGGAUGAUUUUAAUAGAAUCAUAUAAUUGGAAGGGACCAUCAAGUCCAGCCCCCGUCAGUGCAGGAAUAUUUUGCACAACGUGGGGCUUGAACACACGACCCUGAAAUUAUUAUUUCAGUAUCCUUUUCAGUGCCGGAUUUACGUACUAUAUAACCUAAAGCUUAGAGCCCCACUCCAAAAAAACCACAAAACCUGGAUGUACAUUUCCAAAAUAUAAGAUAAAAAGCAAAUAAAACUUACAUACAGCAACAGUGUUUUGUGUGGUGUAGGCUCCUAUGAUGUAAGUAAUGGGCCUCGCCUGCUAGCCUGCUCCCUAAAACAUCACUGGUUUGCUCAUUUCUAUAUACAGUGGUACCUCGGGUUACAGACGCUUCAGGUUACAGACUCUGCUAACCCAGAAAUAGUACCUCGGGUUAAGAACUUUACUUCAGGAUGAGAACAGAAAUCAUGUGGUGGGUUAAGAACAGACCUCUGGAACAAAUUAAGUUCUUAACCAGAGGUACCGCUGUUUAGGGUGCCUACAUUCUGCAUGAAGGUCGGCGGUUCGAAUCCCCGCGACGGGGUGAGUUCCCGUUGCUCGGUCCCUGCUCCUGCCAACCUAGCAGUUCCAAAGCACAAUAGUGCAAGUAGAUAAAUAGGUACCGCUCCAGCGGGAAGGUAAACGGUGUUUCCCGUGUGCUGCUCUGGUUCACCAGAAGCGGCUUAGUCAUGCUGGCCACAUGACCCGGGAAGCUGUACGCCAGUAAAGCGAGAUGAGCGCCUGAACCCCAAAGUUGUCUGCAACUGGACCUAAUGAUCAGGGGCCCCCUUUACUUUGCAUUCUGCAUGGACUUUUCAACAAUUACUUUGAUAAAAUACAUAUUUUGUUAUGUGCAAAUGGCUUGAGAUACCUAUUAGGUCCAUCAAUUACUAUAUAGCAUAUAUUCCACACAAAAAACAGCGACAAUUUGUUGUUGACAAAGGACAGCUGCACAUAUAAAGGGCCCGUUAUCACCAGUAGCUUAGGGCCUCAUCAAACCUAAAUCCGGCCCUGAUCCUAUAAUUAGAGAGUUCAAAGGAUUGCAUGUGUAAAGUUGUAAUUCAUGUUCUUAAGAACAGGCAAGGCUUGGCCAUUUGAUGCUUCCUUAAAAGUGGAUCGUUUCCAGGCAGGCACACGUGUAUAUGUAUAUGUUUAUCUUUACCUGCUACCUGUUCCUUUUAGCUGUAGAUGCCAGGUAUUGAACCUAGAACCUUCUGUACACAGAGUACAUUAUUUAUUUAUGGUGUGGGCAGAAGGCAGGUGAGAAUUGACUGUCAACUCUGGGUGAUUGGAAGCAGGCUGGUGAGGGCUUCUGGCUCACAGCCACCCACCGCCACAAACUGGGUAGGUAACAAUGGAGAAGUAUUCCCAGUCUGUGAAGGGGUCAAGCCAGUACCUUGCCUUGGGCUGCAAGCAGCAUGAUGUGAUGUGCCCGUAUAAUCCAGUCUCAGUUGACUAGCAGCCAUUGACUGCAAUACAUGAGGUUUCUAUAAUGUUUUUUGAAGGGCAGCCCCAUGUACAAAGCACUGCAGUAUUCAAAAAGGGAGUUUACUAUACCAGGGAUGGAGAACCGAGGCAAAGCUAGCUCUCCUUGCCCAGGUAGGGGCUAAUAGCCAUGAUGGCUAAACCUAUGUCCCCACUGGGGAAGGACGUGUGGAUCCAGAAUAGGCCUCUACUGUCACUUACGGACUCGCUGUUAAGACCGUAUUCAUGGAAGACCAUCUUUCUUGAGCUAGAGUAAUAAUCCACCAACGAAAUUGGGAUGUGGAACUUCAAUGCCACGUGAGCUUGAUGAAUAAACACCCAGCAAUAAAAGAUAACGGGAGAGGAUUUACCCCAGCAAAUUAUCUGUCAAAAUUACAAAUACCCAAAUACAGACGGUCAUUUACCCUCGCUAGAUUCAACGUGCUGCCAUCUGCCUUAUUGCAGGGCAGAUUCGAGGGUAAAUAAUAAGCGGAACGAGUCUGCCGCUGUGAAUUGAUGGAGGUAGAAACUGUCUCUCAUGCCUUGUUAUGCUGCUGUUUCUACAGGGAUAUACGCUCGGUAUUUAUUACCCCUGCUAUGCAAAAAUCUCCAAAUGAAUCCAAACUUCUAAAAUCCCUGGUAGAGGACAAGGAUCCUGAGAUCACGUUAAGGUAGCCAAAUUCUGUGCAUUUGCCAUAAAACUUAGGGAACAAGCUGCUAUCAUAAUGAUUAAGGCCUUAAAUGAUAAUUUUAGGUUAUAUGUUAGUUUUACUUUAUAUAUUUUUAAACUGUUGCUACAUCUGUAUUAUCUCUGUUAUACCUAAUUGCAAUUUUAAAUGUAUUCCUAUCCUGUUUUAUUACUUCUUUGAUAUUGUAUGUGGGCUAGAACUGGUCUGUGACCGAAAUAAUAAAUUAAUUCACAAUCUUUUUUUUUAAAAAAAAAUAAUAUUUAUUACUUUUCCAACAAUUUAAACACUACAAAAACAAUACAAUACAAUACAAUACAAUACAAUACAAAAACACUACAUAACACUAACACAUUAAACUAACAAAACAAAAACAAUUAAACACAUUUCAAUAUCUUAUCUUUCAUUCACUUAUUUCCACGACCUCCUCACACCUCCCUUUUGGUAUUCCACUUCUGUUAAUUAUUUCAGCAAUUCCUUUCCAUCUUCCUCUGUUUUCUAUCCUAUAAUUAUCUUAACAAAUUCUAACCUUAUUUUUUCCUUUAAUUCUCUAUUCAUCUAUUUAUACUUAAUUCCUUAUAACAUUUCUACUAAAGCCAUAUAACUUCAUUCCAACAUUUUUCUAACAUUCAUUAAUUUUACAAUAUUUCUGUAAAUAGUCUUUAAACUUUUUCCAGUCUUCUUCCACUGACUCUUCUCCCUGGUCUCGGAUUCUGCCAGUCAUUUCCGCCAGUUCCAUAUAGUCCAUCAACUUCAUCUGCCAUUCUUCCCAGGUGGGUAAAUCUUGUGUCUUCCAAUACUUCGCAAUGAGUAUUCUUGCUGCUGUAGUUGCAUACAUAAAAAAAGUUCUAUCCUUCUUUGGCACCAAUUGGCCGACCAUGCCCAGGAGAAAGGAAUUAAUUCACAAUCUUUCAUGGCGAUGAGUGAUCACCGAGGAAGAAGAAAAGAAGAAGGUCUGCCUCCACGGUGGGAGGCAAAAAAAGAAGAAGAAAAAAAGCCUCCAGAUACCACUUGCUGGAAGCCACAGGAGCAUAGAGGGCUCUUAUGCUUGGAUUCUGCUUGUGAUUUCCCCACAGGCUUCUGGAUGGCCACUGUGAGAACAGGAUGCUAGACUAGAGAGGCCUUUCUUCUUAGGUUCUUAUAAGCUGCAGAGCAGGAAAGAACAUAUUGGAUCAGGAAAACUGAGCAGGGGGCAGGAUAGAAUUGUAGAACAUGGGGCUGUAGAGCUGGAAAGGGCCCUCCUAGGGUCAUCUAGUCCAACCCCCUGCAAUGCAUAUCCAUUUAAAUUAAGCAGCCAGGUGCUAGAAUCUGAAAUUGGACCAGACCUUAUGCAGCUUAGGUUUGGCAAGAGGCAAGGCUAAUCAAUGCCUAUAUGGGAAAGAAUAAAUGCUUAGGUACAUGCAGUGCUUUUUUCCUGGGGGUACACAGGGGUCCGCAUACCCCUCAACAUUUUGUGAAACUAAGUUUAGCUUAAUUGAGGGGCAGUAUUUCAAUAUGAGUAGGAAAAUGAGAGUACCCCUAAACAUUUUUUUAGAAAAAAGAGAGCACUGGGUAUAUGUACUUAAUUUCAUUUUUUAAUUGUUCUUCUUAAAGUUUUUCCUUGGUUGCAAAAGUACAUAGGGCAUCUCUGCUUUCAGUUCAUAGAGUUCUUCUACGGAUCAUUCAUAUUCAAUGUGAGGCACUAAUGUUAUAGACAGCAUAAAGAUGGGGGAGAAAAGAGAAGGGGAGAGAGAGCGGGGGGAGUAAACUUUCAUUCUAUUCCUCAAUUUCAUUUGUUGAGGACUUGAUUGCAAACCAGAUGUCUGGUCAGGAGGGUGACCAAGGAUUACGGAGAGAAACACUUGCUCAGUAAAGACUCAGUUGGGC
rnacentral:lncRNA from 1 species